AUACUUACCUGGCAGGAUAGGUUCCGUGAUCACAAAGGUGGUUUUCCCAGGGUGAGACUUAUCCACUGCAUUUCAGUUGUGCUGAGCCCUGUGAUUUCCCCAAAUGUUGAAAACUCAACUGCAUAAUUUUGUGGUAGUGGGGGGCCUACGUUCAUGCUCUCCCCUG
ensembl:snRNA U1 U1 spliceosomal RNA